ACUAGCUUAGCAAACCAACAGGAAAGUAGGCGAACGAGUUCUAUACGGUACUAUUGGACUUCAAUCAGCUGUGAAUCCUAAACUAUUGCUUUUGGGAUGAAUGAAGUAUCCACACCAGAGCCACACUCAGUCUUUCGUCUGUAGAUGUACAUCAGAGACAAUAGCACAGAGUGAAACUGUAUAUUACUGUUGGAGACGCAAGUCAUAAUAAUGUAAAACCAGUACGUGAGCUCAAGUUUUAUUCGAAUCAUAUAGUUUCAAACAACACUGCAAAGUGCAAACCAUUGAAGGUAACAACAAUAUCUAGAAACAA